CCCCUCGUAGCUCAGGGGAUAGAGCACCGGUUUCCUAAACCGUUGGUCGGAGGUUCGAAUCCUCCCGAGGGGG
rnacentral:tRNA from 2 species